rnacentral:rRNA from 1 species
UCGUAGUUGGAUACGACUAGGGCCUUCGGGCCAUGCACCUCAGCAGGCUGGGCGACGGCUCCCGGGGAGAAACCCUCGAGAGCUGGCUGGCGGAUUGUAAUGUCACCUCGCGCGGGGAUAGAUCCUCUGCAGACGACUGAGUGACCCAAGCAGGGUCGUGUAAGCGGUCGAGUGGCCUUGUUGUACGAGUCGCUGAGCGUCACCCGACCUUGGCUAGAUUU